CCUACGGGAGGCUGCAGUCGAGAAUAUUCGACAAUGGGCGAAAGCCUGAUCGAGCGACGUCGCGUGGUGGAUGAAGUCCUUCGGGACGUAAACAUCUUUUAUGAGGGAAGAAGUAAUUGACAUUACCUCAUGAAUAAGGGGCUCCUAACUCUGUGCCAGCAGGAGCGGUAAUACAGAGGCCCCAAGCAUUACCCGGAAUCACUGGGCGUAAAGGGUGUGUAGGUGGUCGUAUUAGUCGAGUGUUAAAUCCCGGGGCUUAACCCCGGAAUCGCGCUCGAAACGGUACGACUUGAGAGCGUAAGAGGUGAAUGGAACUCAUGGUGUAGGGGUGAAAUCCGUUGAUAUCAUGGGGAACACCGAAAGCGAAAGCAAUUCACUGGUACGUUUCUGACACUCAAACACGAAAGCGUAGGUAGCGAAUGGGAUUAGAUACCCUUGUA
rnacentral:rRNA from 1 species